GUCUGGGCAGUCCCCUGGGAGGGAGCAAGUCCUCUUGUUGCUCAUUUCCCCAGACUCCGCGGCUCCCAGGGGGUGGGCAGCUCCCUGCCUUUUCCCACUGGAGUUCCAGGGGCUGCUCACCUGGAACCUCGGGGUCCCCACCAGCACCUGGUCAGUGUCUUGGGGGCGGGGUGGAGGAAUUGGGCAGAGCAGGUAAGUCCCCGGUGGGGUAGAGGCAUCCCCACCGCAAGGGUCCCUGCAAAACUGAGGCAGAGAUAGGUUUUGCUUUCUCAUUUCUGUUUAAAGGAAAUGGAUAUUUGUGUCAGUGUUAAACUGAGGCUACUUCCCUAAAAACUCCAGAUUUUUAGCUUCUCUUGACAAAGUGAGGGGAUGUGGUCAGACAGGGGCACUUCCUUCCUGGCCUGAAGACUGCAGUCCUCCCUUGGCAUCUGCUCCAGUCCCCAAGGUCUCUUACGCAUUCUCACUAGGUGCCUGCCCCCCAGAGGCCUCCAAAUUUACAAUCCCUGCCUCAGCACAGGUGAGUUAUGCGUGGCCAGGUAAGGCUCCGGUAUCGGUAUCGUUUUCAGCUGGACGACAGAGCCAAAGGCCCUGAUGUGUCACUGACACUUUGCCACCUGACCCCCUCCCUGCCUGGGACAGGACCCCCCAAUGCACUGGCCUACAGCAAGGGCAUUUCUUGCAGGAUUCGGGGGUAGGGGUAUAACCUCCAGCCUCCUGGGAGACACGGAAUAGCAAGUGCCCCCUCCCAAGGAGCUUGAAGGGCAGCCCCACAGGACAGUCUGCACACAGAGAAGGUGGGGACAGUGUCUUGGUCACGGCAAUGGGCUGAAUAAGGUCCCUAGAUCCUAGAACCCGCAACUGUGACCAAUUUGGAAAAGGGUCUCUGUAGGUGUGACUAAGUGAAGGAUGGGGACAUGGCCCUGGAUCACCCAGGUGGACCCUAAAGGCCAUCAUGCGUGCCCAUGUAAGAGGGAGCUGUAGCUGCACGGAGCAGGACGGGGAACGUGGAGAAAGAGGGUGAGACUCCGCCUGAAGGCUGGGAGAGCCUGAGCCACCAGAGGCUGGGAGAGGCCCCGGGGCCUCCUCUGGCCUCUGGAGGGAGCCCAGGUUUGCAGACAACUCGAUUCAGACCAGCAAAGCUCAGGUCAGAGGCGGUGCCUCCAGAGCCCUGGGAGGGCACGGCUGCAGAGUUUUAGCCCUCCCAGUUUGGGGGAGCUCGCUACAGCAGCCAUGGAACCCCCAGCCAGCACCCCAGAAGGAUCAAGAGGCACGUUCGCUGUAGCUGUUUUCUGUUACUCAACCUCUAAAACACUGUCACCCGCCACGGACCAUCACUGACAGAGCAGUGAGAAUCGCGGGGGCCUGGGGGUGAGCUGUGUACUCCUCUGACUCUGAAAAAUUUUCUGCUUUUUUCUCUGAUUACAACUGUAAUGUCUGUUCGUUGUAUUAAGUUUAGAAACCACAGAAAAAGUACAAAGAAGCCCUGUUAAUCCCACACCAGCCUCUCCAGCACCGUGUCCCUCCUGCAGGCAAGCCAGGAAGGCCUGGGAGGCCACCGACCUGGCCAGCUAGCGGAAACGGGGGGAGUGGCCACGGCCAGGGCUGUGCCCGCUCUGGGUUCACUGCUGUGGUCUGUGCAGGGCCCAGCUCAGCCUUGACCCUCAGUUCUCCAUGGCAUAGUUGAGCUCAAGGUCUGUUUCUCCACUGUGCCUAAAAAUGCAUGCAUUCUGGCCCAAGCAGGGGACGACGUGAAACCAAAAGCCCGGCGGCGCCCAUUGGCUCCGAGGAGGCCUGAGUUAGUCACGAGCCAGCUCUGAGCAGGGUGCGGAGGGUCACUGUCACAGUUCUCAGACCCUCCUAACUGCAGAGUGGAGCUCGCCGGCACAGAGCCCACUUGGAGAAGCAGCCAGGGGCCCGAGGAGGGUAAAGAGGGACGGUGAGGACCACUUCGCCUCUUAGACGUGGCCGGGCCCCAGGGCAGCCAGAACCCGCAGGUAAGAACGAGGGCCCCACUCACUCUGCUUGGACCCUGCUCAGGGUGAGCAACAGAAUUAAGGCCAGCGGCCGCCCCUCACUCCAGCAGGGCCUGGGGACCAGCUGCUCUGUCAAGGCUCCUCAGAUGCUCCCUCUGUUAGGGAAUCAUCCAUGGUUGUCCCUCCCUCCUGACCUGCCCCCAAAUGCAGCUGGACCCUCAGGGACAGUGCUCCAUGGGAGCCUUCUCGGUUUGACUGUCCUCCUUAGUGGAAAUUCAUGCCCCAGCCUGCAAGGAUCUGCAGAUUGAGCCUACGCUCCCUGUGGGGCAAAAGGGUCACUUCUCUGUCCCCACCCACCUCUCACACAUCCGGCCCAGCAGUGGGUUCAGUUCUCUCGCCCCAAGCACAACUCUCGAGCACCACAGCCUCACCUUAGUCCCCUCCAGAAAGCACGUGGCAUGCCCCGCUCCCGCUGAGAGGGGACAGAAACUGUGAGGUGUCCCCAGGGUGGCCUGAGCUGUCAACAGCAUCCAGGAGGCCCUGGGGCUGGCCCAGCUAUCUGGGAAAGCAAGCAACCUCCACGUGACUCUGACGUGGGCAGCAGCGGCCCCGACAUCAAGCUGGCAGGGUGGUGCCACCUUGCUCCUGGUGCACACCUGGGGCAGGUCCUGCAGGAGUGGGGAGAGGAUCUGCUGAAAGCACACUUUCUAAUGCUCUGGGCUCAGAUUUUCUGCCACCUGCCAUGCCCCCCUCCCUAAUGCAGGGACUUGGGAACCUUCCCAGUGAGUGCCAGCUACAGGGACAUGCAGGCUCACUUUAAACAGUGACUUCUCCGAGCCAGGUGCUGCAGCCCAUGCCUGGAAUCUUGCUGACUUGGGAAGCUGAGGCAGGAGGACCGCAGAUUUGAGAAAUAAAGGAGCUGGGUCCCAUGGCCCCGGGGUGCUGGCCCGGCCACAGUUGCUGCUGCCGUAGGCACCAAGCAGCCUCCAGUGCAGCCUUGACCCAGCCCCGGGGGCUGCAUCUUCUCUGCACUUUUUAUUAGACCUCAAGGUUCGUCUGUUCCUGAAUAAAUAAAAGCCAGCUCCUCUCUGCUCCCGGGGCGGCUGCAGGGUUCACUGGUGUCGAUGGCAUGGGCUAGCCGGCGGCUUUGGGAGCCCCUCCAGGUCAGCGUGGAAGGGGACCAAGGGGAUGGGAGAGGCAGCCCCCGCUAAGGGCCUCACCUCAGCCAUCCAUCCAGCGCUGCAGGCUGACCGGAGCCAGAGCUGGCGCUUCACUCCUACAGGGGCCUCGGCUGGUGUCUGCCCAGAGCAGGAGAGACGGGGAGGCCA